rnacentral:rRNA from 1 species
UUGUCUCUCUUGAGUGGAUCCUGAGUACGACGGAGCACGUGAAAUUCCGUCGGAAUCUGGGAGGACCAUCUCCUAAGGCUAAAUACUCUCUAGUGACCGAUAGUGAACCAGUACCGUGAGGGAAAGGUGAAAAGCACCCCGGAAGGGGAGUGAAAUAGAACCUGAAACCGUGUGCUUACAAGUAGUCAGAGCCCGUUAAUGGGUGAUGGCGUGCCUUUUGUAGAAUGAACCGGCGAGUUACGAUUUGAUGCAAGGUUAAGCAGUAAAUGUGGAGCCGUAGCGAAAGCGAGUCUGAAUAGGGCGUUUAGUAUUUGGUCGUAGACCCGAAACCAGGUGAUCUACCCUUGGUCAGGUUGAAGUUCAGGUAACACUGAAUGGAGGACCGAACCGACUUACGUUGAAAAGUGAGCGGAUGAACUGAGGGUAGCGGAGAAAUUCCAAUCGAACCUGGAGAUAGCUGGUUCUCUCCGAAAUAGCUUUAGGGCUAGCCUCAAGUGAUGAUUAUUGGAGGUAGAGCACUGUUUGGACGAGGGGCCCCUCUCGGGUUACCGAAUUCAGACAAACUCCGAAUGCCAAUUAAUUUAACUUGGGAGUCAGAACAUGGGUGAUAAGGUCCGUGUUCGAAAGGGAAACAGCCCAGACCACCAGCUAAGGUCCCAAAAUAUAUGUUAAGUGGAAAAGGAUGUGGCGUUGCCCAGACAACUAGGAUGUUGGCUUAGAAGCAGCCAUCAUUUAAAGAGUGCGUAAUAGCUCACUAGUCGAGUGACACUGCGCCGAAAAUGUACCGGGGCUAAACAUGUUACCGAAGCUGUGGAUUGUCCUUUGGACAAUGGUAGGAGAGCGUUCUAAGGGCGUUGAAGCAUGAUCGUAA